GUCAGUGUGGGAGAGUGGUUUAAUCCGUCAGAUUUGAAUAACGCAUUAUCUGAUCCGCUUUGCGGGCGUAGGUUCGAACCCUGCCACUGACG
rfam:Sistotremastrum niveocremeum HHB9708 unplaced genomic scaffold SISNIscaffold_15, whole genome shotgun sequence.